CCUACGGGAGACAGCAGUAGGGAAUGUUCGUCAAUGGGCGCAAGCCUGAACGAGCGAUGCCGCGUGAGUGAAGAAGGCCUUCGGGUCGGAGAGCUCUGUUGCGGGGGAAAAAAGGCAGCAUCAGGAAAUGGGUGCGGACUGAGGGUGCCCCGCCAGAAAGGCACGGCUAACGACGUGCCAGCAGCCGCGGUAAUCCGUAGGUGGCGAGCGUUAUCCGGAAUGAUUGGGCGGAAAGGGUGCGCAGGCGGUCCUGCACGUCUGGAGUGAAACGCAUGAGCUCAACUCCUGCAUGGCUUUGGAAACUUGAGGACUGGAGAGCAGUAGAGGGCGGUGGAACUCCAUGUGUAGCGGUCCAAUGCGUAGCUAUAUGGAAGAACCCCAGUGGCGAAGGCAGCCGCCUGGCCUGUUGCUGACGCUGAGGCACGAAAGCGUGGGGAGCAAAUAGGAUUAGAUACCCGAGUAGUC
rnacentral:rRNA from 1 species